AGUGUUUUCCCUUUUGCACUUAAUGGAGUACUGUGUAUUCAGGCUGGAUGUCAGUAUUUGCUCUGUAAAUAUGGUAGUACCGAUUUGCGUCCUCCACCUGAGUCCAAUACCUGUCUAUAUUCAUAUCUCCCAAGGAGAGAAGAUAAUCUUUAAGCUUCUGUAGUGUUAAAUAUCCCUGCCCUAACCUGAAGGCACAAAAGUAGAGUGCAAUGAAAUAUAGCUAUUUUCUUUAAUUUAUUUUUUUCUUUGAAAACAAUUUUGCUUGCAUUCAGUAGUAAUAGAGAGAUAGUAUCAAUGACCAGAGAACAGUAAAACUUUUUAAGAAUUGUUUAUAAUACCUGGAAUGAUGGUGUAACUUAAAGGUGGAAAGAGCUAGUAGAGGAUUCAGUUCCAUACACUGAACAGUGCUGGGUUACAGUCUCUAUUCUCCAUCCAGCCUGUGAAAUCCUAGAAUAAGUAGAUUUACCAAGAAACAUGACACAAACUUACCAGGUUAAGUUACUUGAGGUUUGCUGAUGUAUUAAAAUUAUGUAGGAAUGUAUUUUGAAAUAAGAAUUUCAACAGAAAGUGAAAAAUCCCCUUAAUGGCUACUAACACACAGUAACUAAAAUUUCUGCAUUUUUCCCCACUUCCAAAAAGGGGUAUUUUGAAGCACAGGUGGGUUAUAGCCAGUAUUUCCAAGUUUAAUGAAUGGAAUUCUUGGGGAUUUUUCUCUUUUUGUGGUGAAGAACAUCUGCACCUUUUCAGUGAACAGUCAUUACAAAACCAAUUCACACAAUGUUAUAAAAAGUAGAGGGAUAACUGAGCAUCCUGUAGCACUUUUCAUGAAUUAAGGUGGGAUUUGUCUGAUGCAUGUUGAUGUCUGCACUGGGGCAAGACACUGUAGGUAGUCAGCACAGCAAAGAAAGCAAACGUGUUCAUCCUGCAUGCCUGGAGUAGCUCAGAGGAACUGCACCCCAGCUCCACUGACUUACCUUGACUUGCAGGCAGCUGCUGACACUGCAGACAUCUGACAUUACAGGGAGAGAUCUGGCUGGAUUGCAGGACUGAUCUUUGUGUUGUGGUUAGCAAUGGUACUGACCUCUGCUUCCAACUUACUGCUUGUUGGGAAAUGAGGCCUUUUUUUUUCCUUAUUUUCUUUAAAGCAGCACUAUAGUGGUGGAUAAAGUCACUGAUCCUUGGUUAUAAUACUGUGGCAUAAAAAUGCUUUGGGUUUUCUCAAGUAUUUUAGAGAUAAGGUUACUGUGUGAACAUUGGACUGUGCAUAACCUAGAAUGUGUUAGGACACAUAAUAUUUGUGUCCCAGUUGAUAAAAGUAUUUCCUUAUACUUACUCAAUACUAGAUACCUAUUAUAAAAUGUCCCUAAAGAAUCUGCUAGAAUGACAGAAGAGUCAAGUCCUCAUCUAUGCUAUGAAAGGAUUAACCACAAGAACUCUGCUGUGAUUUCAGAAUGUUCCUCCCAUCUUCCAGUUUCAGCUUAUAAAAGUAUUUCCAACCUGGCAUAGUUGGCUAUCUGCAUGUGUACUUACAGUCUGUACAGAAAUGCACUAAAAUGAGUUGCCCUAUCUGGGAAGGCUUUAUAUUGUAUAGAAAAUGUGGCACUAGGUACUGCUCUUCAUGUGCACAGGAGAGUUAACAGGUGUCAGUCUCGUUUACAGAAAUGAUGGCGCUUUGCAAUUUUCUAUAAUAUAUUGCAAUAUAUUUAAAUGUCCUGUUUGACAUGUGAAAUGAAAUUAAGUUAAUGCAUUGUUAUGUAUUUGAAGUAUGAGGAAGAUGAUUCACUAACGACCAGCAAGGUUUUUAGAAAGGUGUCCAGUAUGUAGCCGUCUGUGUGAUCUGUCUGGUGUACGUGAUAUUAAAGGAAGCAACAAUACUGUCACUGUUCAGAAUGAAGAGUUUCUUUUGAAUGAUGCAAUAGCUUACAAUGUCUUUCCUUUGUAGCUGCCCAGUGUGGUGAAGGGGAAGCAAUUCUUGAAAAAUUUCAAGAUAACUGGUUAACUGUGAAUGGGCCUAAUCUUUCGUGAAACCAAGAAAAUUUUUGGACACACACAGGACUUGAAUACUCAAAAGGAUUGGAACUUAGUGUUGUGCCAAAGUUAAACUACUGCAGUUGGCAGUUCUGCACUGUAAAUAGAAGACUGAUUAAAAGACAGCUUGUAAAAAAAAGAUCAGAUUUUAAUACAGUACGUUUUUAUUCUGAUACAUGAUGGAAACAUUCUGUUUGAGACCUUUUUUGAAGAGGCUUCAGUGACCACUAGAUUUUGUCCUCUUAUAUUUUGUUUGGCCUAAUACUAUAUGUUUCAGUAAGAUGGGCUUUAUUGCCUGUGUUCUUUGAUAUGUGAUUAAGCUUAUAGCUUUGAGUGACCAAACAUUUUACAGAGUAAAAGUUCUUAGAAACAGUAUAAUGUAACUGAUAUUUCUGUGUCUUAUUUAUCAGGCUCUGCACAAACUUGGAAAGUUGUGCUGGACUUGUACAACUCGUAUAUGGGAACGCAGCAUACUUCUGGAUAUUACAAACCUAAGCCUUUGUGGCUGUAUGGAUCUUGUCUUUGGAUUUAUUUUUGUUAUUUUUUUGAGGCAAAGAAACUAAUGGAUGCUGCUGUAAAAUAUUUGUAAUAUUGCCAUUAUUUCUUUCUGUAGCAAUUACUGCUUUUGCUUCAACAGAUAAAGAAAAUAAAUCAGAGAUAGAAAAAUCCUAAAGGCGCUGGUAGAAGAAAGGAUCAUGUGAGAACUUCUGAAAAUAAACUUUGUACCAAAAAUUUGAAAACAGAAAUAAUGGAAUAAAUGUCUCCUUACUGAGUGUGUGUGGUUUUAAGAGGUGGUGUAGAAACCAGGAAUCACGUCUGUAUGAAAAUGUCACAAACCAGAUCUUUUCAAAUAUCAUUUUCCCUGUUACACGAAAUGGAAUUUCACCAGUUGCUCAGAUGCAUUGAAUUUGGAGAAGGGACUUGGCGGCACAGGCAGUGUGAGGUCAGCUUCACGUGUGAGUCAGUGCAGCUGCUUCUGCUGAGCUGCUCUGCCGUGUCAGCAGCCCAGGGACGCUCACGUGAUUGUUCUCAUUAUGGCAGAUGCUUUUUAUUACGGCAUUUAAAAUAUUCGGGGUGGGCAGAGCAGGGGUCCUUACUGAAGUCCCUGUCAGUUGGACAGGCUGCUUUAACACGUGCGUUUCCCUGAGGUGAGAAGGGUGUGAGGAAAGAGCUGCUGUUGAGCUCUGUCCUUGUCCCGUGAGCCCAACCUGCCAUCACUCACAGCCACUCCCUGCCAGAGGCAGUGCCACUGUCUUGCUUUGGUGUGACUCAUCACACCCAUACAUUCCAGCGGUUGAGCUGCAACUGGAGGAACCUGAGUCUGAGAUUUUCCUGCAGGACCUGGCAUUGUGCUUACACAUGGAUCCCCGGCAAAGAAAAAUGUGUUUUAAGCAAGAGAGUCAUUCCUGUGCUGUAGCUAAUGUUAGUCUGAAAAAUGACAUCUCUAGCUGAAGUGGUGACCUAAGCACAGGACUGGAGAUGAACAUGAGUCGUCAACACAGCUUGGUGUUUGGCCAAAUAGUUUUACUUGGUUGGGUGAAAAAAAAAAAUAAUGCUUUUUCAAGAAUCCAUCAGGUAAUGAGGGAGUUACAAGAAGCACCGGAUUAUGCAUGCAGUCACUGUUUUUUAAAGGUUCAGUGCUGAGCUGAUCUUCGUUACUUUAAAAUAUUU